GGCUUCUUCGCAUUAUAUGCCAUCGAUCCCCACAGUGCGUCAGAUGUGCCGGGUUUGCUUCUCAAGCAACGUGCGAGUGGUUACUAUCAAGUGCGAGUUUAAAUAUUUCCUUCGGCGUUUUUAUGUUCCAGUUGCUGUCAAUGUUUUCGUUUCUCUUGUUCUCUGCACAGCCACGAAACGGACUAAAUGCAACGAACGCGAUAUGAACGCGUGCAAGGAAAUGGGAAUGGAAUGUGAUUUCUCGCUUGGCGCUGCCGUGUGCCUUGACACAAUUCGCACGACAUGCAAUGAACAAGAGAUGAAAAUAUGCAAAUCUAGGAGAAAAAAGUGUGACUUCACAGCGCACGCACCAGUGUGUAUCGAUACAAGCCGUAAGGCUUGCGAUCAGGAGGAGGUUCAAAGAUGUUCAGCCUUCGGCAAGGAGUGCGAAAUGGUGGGAGGGGCGCCCUUGU